CUACGUGCCAGCAGCCGCGGUAAUACGUAGGGUGCGAGCGUUAAUCGGAAUUACUGGGCGUAAAGCGAGCGCAGACGGUUACUUAAGCAGGAUGUGAAAUCCCCGGGCUCAACCUGGGAACUGCGUUCUGAACUGGGUGACUAGAGUGUGUCAGAGGGAGGUAGAAUUCCACGUGUAGCAGUGAAAUGCGUAGAGAUGUGGAGGAAUACCGAUGGCGAAGGCAGCCUCCUGGGAUAACACUGACGUUCAUGCUCGAAAGCGUGGGUAGCAAACAGGAUUAGAUACCCUGGUAGUCCACGCCCUAAACGAUGUCAAUUAGCUGUUGGGCAACUUGAUUGCUUAGUAGCGUAGCUAACGCGUGAAAUUGACCGCCUGGGGAGUACGGUCGCAAGAUUAAAACUCAAAGGAAUUGACGGGGACCCGCACAAGCGGUGGAGCAUGUGGUUUAAUUCGAUGCAACGCGAAGAACCUUACCUACUCUUGAC
rnacentral:rRNA from 1 species